AUACGGAGGGUGCAAGCGUUGUUCGGAAUCACUGGGCGUAAAGGGCGCGCAGGCGGUUUGGUAAGUCAGAUGUGAAAGCCCACGGCUCAACCGUGGAAGUGCAUUUGAAACUGCCAGACUUGAGUACCAGAGGGGAAAGUGGAAUUCCCGGUGUAGAGGUGAAAUUCGUAGAUAGCGGGAGGAAUACCGGUGGCGAAGGCGACUUUCUGGCUGGAUACUGACGCUGAGGCGCGAAAGCGUGGGGAGCAAACAGUAGUAGAUACCCUAGUAGUCC
rnacentral:rRNA from 1 species